GUUAGACUGUUGUUUGUUUUUUAUGUAUAUAUUAGAGGGCGUUAUAUAUAUGCGCCCAUGGGCGGUCGAUAUGAUCCCCUGUGGUUUAAUAGUUUUGUAUCUGUAUAGGGCGUUCUAUAGGAUCCCCGGGGCGGUCUAUAGGCUCCCAUUGUUUGGUUAUCAUGUAUUCACUAGAUUUAUCUACUAGAGAGCGUUCUAUGGGAUCCCCUGUUGGGUCUAUAGGAUCACCUGUUGUGUUAUAAUCGUGUAUCUGCUAUAGGGCGUUCUAUAGGUUCCCCGGGGCGGUCUAUAGGAUCUUCUUUUGGUUGUUAAUCAUGAAUCUAUGACAGGUUGUUCUAUAGGAUCCCCUGGGCGGUCUAUAGGACCCCGUAUUGUUUAAUAAUCGCAUAUUUGCUAUAGGGAAUUCUUUGGGAUCCCCGGGUCGGUCCAUAGGAUCCUCUGUUGUUUGUUCAACAUGUUUCUUCUAGAGGGUGUUCCAUAAAAUCCCAGGGUCGGUCUAUAGGAGCCCUGUAGUUUUUUCAUCAUGUAUCUAUUAGAGGGCGUUAUAUAUAUAUGCUCCCAUAGGCGUUCUUUAUGAUCCCUUGUGGUUUAAUAAUUGUGUAUCUGCUAUAGGGCGUUCUAAAGGAUCCCGGGGCGGUCUAUAGGAUCCCCUGUUGUUUGUUCAUAAUGUAUCUAUAACAGGUUGUUCUAUACGAUCCCCUGGGCUGUCUAUAGGAUACCCUGUUGGUUGUUCAUCAUGUAUCUAUAACAGGUUGUUCUAUACGAUCCCCUGGGCGGUCUAUAAGAUCCCCUUUUGUUUAAUAAUCGCGCAUAUUCUAUAGUGCGUUCUAUAGGAUCCCCGGGUCUGUCUAUAGGAUCCCCUAUUGUUUAUACCUUGGCGGUCUAUAUGAUCCCCUUUUGUUUAAUAAUCGCGCAUAUUCUAUAGUGCGUUCUAUAGGAUCCCUGUGUCUGUCUAUAGGAUCCCCUAUUGUUUAAUAACCUUGCAUCUGCUAUAGGGCGUUCUAUGUUAUCCCUUUCAAAGGUCGAGGGGGCAUAUUGUUAUUGGUUGUUUUUUUUUUCUUUUCUUUUUCCCCAUAAUUUUAUUGUCCCGACAAAUUCUCGGAAAAGGAUAGACACAUUCAUCUUUAUGGAAUUAUGGC
rnacentral:lncRNA from 1 species